rnacentral:tRNA from 1 species
ACACUUCCCUUACACUGAAAAGACACCCGUGCAACUCGGGUCGCCCU